GCCGGUGAUGAUCUGUAUUGGUUACUGAACAGGCACAUUGAUUGUGUGCAUCUGUUGAUAUCUUUGCACUUGACUAGGACGGUCUGAGGC